UUGCACGCUUCCCAGCAUGCUUGGGUUUAGAGUAACUCAGUGCAUUCCUGCGGUGCUUCUAGAGUGUUCUGAGAUGGUUUGAGGCCUCGCCCUGUUGCUACCUCAGCGCAUGGUCGUAGGCACUUCAGACAGUU
rnacentral:snoRNA from 14 species